GUGGGGAAUAUUGGGCAAUGGGGGAAACCCUGACCCAGCGACGCCGCGUGGGUGAAGAAAUCCCUCGGGAUGUAAAGCCCUGUAGUAUGGGAAGAGCAGAAGACGGUACCAUACGAGGACGCCCCGGCAAACUACGUGCCAGCAGCCGCGGUAAUACGUAGGGGGCAAGCGUUGUCCGGAAUUACUGGGCGUAAAGCGCACGCAGGCUGAAUUAUAAGUCGGUAGUCAAAUACGGAGGCUCAACUUCCGGAUAUCUAUCGAUACUGUAAAUCUAGAGUAUGGAAGAGGGAAGCGGAAUUCCCUGUGUAGCGGUGAAAUGCGUAGAUAUCGGGAGGAACACCAGUGGCGAAGGCGGCUUCCUGGCACAAUACUGACGCUCAUGUGCGAAAGCUAGGGCAGCGAACGGGAUUAGAAACCCGGGUAGUCC
rnacentral:rRNA from 1 species